rnacentral:rRNA from 1 species
UAGUGACCUGCGGAGGGAUCAUUA